UUACAAAAAGGUAAAAAGUAAUUCUUAAGAUGAACAAAUGACAAUUACAUCACACUAAAGAGGAUGUGCAAUACAAUUCAAUAUUUAUCUUAGAUAUAUAUAUUCUAUCGAACUGACAGUAGUGUUACGUCUUCCCCUUUUUGGUCUUUCAUAGUAUCAAACUAUAAUUUUUCAAGAAUAAUUCAUCAUGUCGAUCCAACCAUUUGAGACAAUCACACCCCCAGACCCUGUGACAAAACUCGAACAAAUUAAAAAAAAAAAAACUAAUUAGAAAACUUUUCAGUUGGAGCAUCAAUAAAAUUCAACAAAAAAAAUUCAGAUAAAACUUCGUGAAUAAAAUUUCUGAAACACCUAUUAAACUUACAUGUAAUAUCAUUAAGCAUAAACAUAAUUAAGAUUCUAGUUAUCAAUAUUGCAUAAAGCCAUUCAUCUUUUAACAACUUGAUGAACUAUGAUAUGCAAAUUUCGCACAAAAUGAAACUACUAAUAACUACCGGUAAAAAUUAUUAUCACAGAAUAAAGAAAACAAUAACCGAGGAUUGAUUAUAAAAAAGUGACGAUAUAAUGGCUCGUAGGCAUUCUAAGAUUUAGGUCUCAAUGGCAUUAUGACCUCAUUAUUAAGCUUUCUUAACCAAAGAUUGUGACAUCUACAAACAAAACAAUUCAAAAUCAACAAAAUAUCAAUAAAGUUGUAAUUAGUUUGCAAUAGAAAAAAGAAAAGGAAAAAUUGAAUGCUUAGAACAAUAUCAUAUACUACAAUGGUUACAAAAUAUUUUUAUAAUUAAAUUACGAUAAAAAAGGGUAUUCACCUCAGUAGUGCUUGGGAUAAUGAAUGGAUACACACGAUAUAACUUCCUUUGGCUAUUAAUUGUCAGUUACUAGUGAAGUAGAGGCCCAUGGAAGGAAAGUAGUGGAUUUGGAGGAAGAACCAAAUAAAAAGGAGGAGAUUUAAUUUACCGCUAAAAGUGAGAGAAGGAAGACGAUGAGAUGUGUUAUUAUGCA
rnacentral:lncRNA from 1 species